UUAUUUUUUAAUAAUUAAUUUUUAUAUAAUUUUUAUAUAAUUAAUAUUUUAGUUAUUUAUAGGAAUAAAUAUUAUAAUAUAAUAAUAUUUUAAUAAUGAUAAAAUAAGUAUUUUAUAUACAUAAAAUAUAGUAACUCGGCAAAUAUUAUUUUCGCCUGUUUAACAAAAACAUGGUCUUUUGUUUAUAUAAAAGAUCUAACCUGCCCUAUGAUUUAUUUAAAUGGCUGCAGUAUUUUGACUGUACAAAGGUAGCAUAAUCAUUUGUCUUUUAAUUGAAGGCUUGUAUGAAUGGUUGGAUGAAAAAUAUACUUUCUUUAUUUUAUAUAAAAAAUUUAAUUUUCUAGUCAAAAAGCUAGGAUUUUUUUAUAGGACGAGAAGACCCUAUAGAACUUUAUUUUCUUUUUUUAUAAACUUUAUAGAUAAAUAUAAGUUUAUAUAUUUUUGUUAAUUUUGUUGGGGUGAUUGAAAAAAUUUUUUAACUUUUUCUAUUUUUUACAUUUAUAUAUGUUUUUUUGAUCCUUUAUUAUGGAAUAAAAGAUUAAGUUACCUUAGGGAUAACAGCGUUAUUUUUUUGGAGAGUUCUUAUCGAUAAAAAAGUUUGCGACCUCGAUGUUGG
rnacentral:rRNA from 1 species